AUCGCUUCUCAGCCUUUUGGCUAAGAUCAAGUGUAGUAUAAACAUAUACCGGUGUUUAUAAUAAGAUGAAUAUGUAAUAAAUAAGAUAAUUUAU
ensembl:snRNA U2 U2 spliceosomal RNA